UACGGAGGGGGCGAGCGUUGUCCGGAAUCACUGGGCGUAAAGGGCGCGUAGGUGGCGCAGGAAGUCAACGGUGAAAGUUCGGGGCUCAACCCUGAAUCGGCCGUCGAUACUCCUGGGCUCGAGCACUGUAGAGGCAGAUGGAAUUCCGGGUGUAGGCGGUGGAAUGCGUAGGAGAUCCGGAAGAACACCGGUGGCGAAGGCGGUCUGCUGGG
rnacentral:rRNA from 1 species